UACGAAGGGGGCUAGCGUUGCUCGGAAUUACUGGGCGUAAAGGGAGCGUAGGCGGAUAGUUUAGUCAGAGGUGAAAGCCCAGGGCUCAACCUUGGAAUUGCCUUUGAUACUGGCCAUCUUGAGUACGGAAGAGGUAUGUGGAACUCCGAGUGUAGAGGUGAAAUUCGUAGAUAUUCGGAAGAACACCAGUGGCGAAGGCGACAUACUGGUCCGUUACUGACGCUGAGGCUCGAAAGCGUGGGGAGCAAACAGG
rnacentral:rRNA from 1 species